ACAGCCCCUGGAGGUGUUGCGGAAGUGGCUGCCAUGUUGUUUGUGUCAUGAGGCGGCAGAGAGAAGAGAGGCUUGUCUGUGCUGAGUGAAUAUCCGGAUGAUUGAUAGUCUGACACU